UGUUUCACUUAAAUCCCUUAAAGAUAUGAUCCGUCGUUUGGCCGAUGUGGCGAAUACGCAAUUCAUAACCACAACAUUUCGUCCGGAGUUGGUAAAAGUUGCGGAUAAGAUAUACGGCGUUACUCACAAAAACAGAGUUAGCCAUGUCCACGUUGUUUCGAAGGAGGAGGCUCUCGAUUUUAUCGAACAAGAUCAGAACCAAAGUGCUUAAUCAGGUUUGCUUUUACCUGAUAUAUUAUGCAGCUGUGAAUGUCAGCAGGCAUGAACAUAUAGUACUUUUCCUUCCUCCAUUUCAACUUUAGCAGUGUCUGCAAUUUUUAAUUUUUGUUUCUGUAAAUUUUGAAUUACUGAGGGAGUAAUUUGUAGCAUGCAUUAUGAUUUUUUACUCUAGAAACCAAUUAUAUGUGUUAGUAGAUUGAAGUUGUAUUGGAUGUGAAGAACUUUAUGCUAAUUUUUCCAUGGCCUAAACUAGUCCAAGGUGAUUUAUUCCUA